rnacentral:rRNA from 1 species
UGGUAGUNCACGCCGUAAACGAUGAGUGCUAGGUGUUAGGCCCUUUCCGGGGCUUAGUGCCGCAGCUAACGCAUUAAGCACUCCGCCUGGGGAGUACGACCGCAAGGUUGAAACUCAAAGGAAUUGACGGGGGCCCGCACAAGCGGUGGAGCAUGUGGUUUAAUUCGAAGCAACGCGAAGAACCUUACCAGGUCUUGACAUCCCUCUGAUCACUCUAGAGAUAGAGUUUUCCUUCGGGACAGAGGUGACAGGUGGUGCAUGGUUGUCGUCAGCUCGUGUCGUGAGAUGUUGGGUUANNNNNNNNNNCGAGCGCAACCCCUAUUGUUAGUUGCCAUCAUUCAGUUGGGCACUCUAGCGAGACUGCCGGUAAUAAACCGGAGGAAGGUGGGGAUGACGUCAAAUCAUCAUGCCCCUUAUGACCUGGGCUACACACGUGCUACAAUGGCUGGUACAACGAGUCGCAAGCCGGUGACGGCAAGCUAAUCUCUGAAAGCCAGUCUCAGUUCGGAUUGUAGGCUGCAACUCG